GUUCCCUUUCUACCUUUCCCUCGAGACAUAAUCAAGAAAGCAGUUUGUUUGUAUGGAAACGUCAUUUUCAGCAGGCAAGGUUGGAUAAUCGAGGCCAUGUCUGCCACAUUACUCACUACAGCCACAGCAUUGGAUGACAGCAGCUCCUCGGGCGACAUGGAGGAGAAGUAGGCGAUGUUGGUGGAUGGCGACACAGGUGGCUGUAGCUGCUAGCUGCCUGCUAAGCUUCACCUCAGCUAACUGAAGUGGACCUCUGGACCAGAACUGCAGUGGAACAAAUGGGCAUCACACUCAUCAAAGGCUGCCCUGUUUCACACUCACAGAGACAGGUGGCAGACAGCAUCCGUGUCGCCAUGUACGGGGGAACACAGUUUGGG